GGAGCUUGCUCCCGGAUGUUAGCGGCGGACGGGUGAGUAACACGUGGGUAACCUGCCUGUAAGACUGGGAUAACUCCGGGAAACCGGAGCUAAUACCGGAUAGUUCCUUGAACCGCAUGGUUCAAGGAUGAAAGACGGUUUCGGCUGUCACUUACAGAUGGACCCGCGGCGCAAUAGCUAGUUGGUGGGGUAAUGGCUCACCAAGGCGACGAUGCGUAGCCCACCUGAGAGGGUGAUCGGCCACACUGGGACUGAGACACGGCCCAUACUCCUACGGGAGGCAGCAGUAGGGAAUCUUCCGCAAUGGACGAAAGUCUGACGGAACAACGCCGCGUGAGUGAUGAAGGUUUUCGGAUCCUAAAGCUCUGUUGUUAGGGAAGAACAAGUGCGAGAGUAACUGCUCGCACCUUGACGGUACCUAACCCCAAAGCCACGGGUAACUACGUGCCAGCAGCCGCGGUAAUACGUAUGUGGCAAGCGUUGUCCGGAAUUAUUGGGCGUAAAGGGCUCGCAGGCGGUUUCUUAAGUCUGAUGUGAAAGCCCCCGGCUCAACCGGGGAGGGUCAUUGGAAACUGGGAAACUUGAGU
rnacentral:rRNA from 1 species